ACAUCCAAAUCUUACUUAGUUUUGAUAAAAGAAAGGUUUUGAAAUUAGAUUUCAAAAUAUUCCUUAUUAAAAGAAUCUGUUCUUAUCCAAAUCAGCCUCUCCACGCCAACUUAUUUUUUUCUCCUUAUGUGUGUGAUAUUUUGAGGAGAUUUUUUAUGAGGUAGAGAACUAAUUUACCAUAAAAAAAUAUGGAAAGGGGUGUCUAAUUUUUUUUUGAUAUAUUUUGGUAUGAAUUUUUGAGUAGGGGCGAC
rnacentral:lncRNA from 1 species